rnacentral:sRNA from 1 species
ACCGGGCGUGGUGGCGCACGCCUGUAAUCCCAGCGGCUUGGGAAGCUGAGGCUGGAGGAUCGAAAGCUCAAGGCUAGCCUCAGCAAUUUAGCAAGGCCCUAAGCAACUAAGUGUGACCCUGUCUCUG